UGUAUCCAAAAUUGUAUGGAAAAAUGAGAGUUUAUUUCACAUGCUCAAAGAAAUUUUUUGUUCAAAAAUAAAUUAUUCUAUACAUAACUUUAAUAUAUUACUGUAUAUAAGUUUUCAUUGAAAUCGAAUCUUUAAUAAUAAUUCAAUUUCUUUACAAGAUAGUGUAAAAAAAUUUGUAUGCCUUGAAUAUAUAUUAAAUUACAAAUAAGACCUCGAAUUAUCAAACUAAUGGUAGUAAUAUCAGUAGUCUAAGUGCGUAAUAUAAUUUUUUAAAUAAUACAAUAAUUUAUAUUAUUACAUUUCAUGAAAUGUGUGUGUGUGUAGCUUUACUGUAUAUUACCUGUUUACAUAUACAUAUAUAUAUACGUAUACAUAUAUAUAUAUAUAUGCAUGCACAUAUAAGUAUAUAUAAAUAUAUAUGUCCGUUUCAAUCGGUUUUUUUAGCUUUUCCAUCUUUUUUCCUUCUUAUCUAUCAAAUUAUUUUUUUAAAUUGCUAGCACUAUAUUGCAUUUUCUUCUUUUUUUUUUUCAAUACUUCUAAAUGAUGGGGAUAGUGUUAAGGAAAAUAUCAUCAGAUUUAUAUUUAUUAUUUUCGCUCAUAAAUUUAUCUUCAAUUUUUUCUGACUCAUUCGUUCAAUUACAUAUCGCUUAUCAUAUUAUUUUCAAAUUUCUAUCAUUUUCAUUUUCUAAUUUCACCAUGCCAAUCUCUAUCAUUGCUUAGCAUUGAGUAUAUGUAAUAUGUAAAUAUAUAAAAAUAUAUUAGAUAGAUUAUAUAUUAGAUUAUCGUAUUAUUGUCUAAUAAGAAACGAUAACAUCCAACUUUAAAAUUUUCAAUACUGUGUAGUAAAAUUGUAGAUUCUAAAUUGUAUUGAGUUGUUGAAUUCAAAUAUAACCUAUUUCCAUCUAAAUUUUCAACUGUUAAAGUAUCAUUUCGAAAACUUUUGUAUCUGCAUCAUCCGUAGUUAGAUUAUCGAUACAACUUUUUACUUUUACAUGUAUAAGAGCUUUGAAAAUUAAUGACUUACCACUGCUAAAAUUAUGGUUUAUCUAUUAUCUAUUUCAUAAUAUAUCGCUGUCAUAAUACAUUUACAAAUAAAAAAGUAAAAAAGUAAUUGGAAAAAAAUAUCGAUUUGAUAUUCGCUCUUAUACAUUUAUUGUAUGAUUCUCUCAAAAAAUAUACUAAGAUCACAUCAAAAUAAACAUUAAAAUCAAAUUUGACAUAAAUAUACAAAUGUUUAUUAAGUUCUUAUUUAUUAUAUAAAUUUUCUUUAGAUUUUUUAAUUUGUUUUUGUAUUUAUUUUAUAUUGUUUUUGCUUUUUCAUACAACGAAAAUUUAAAUUGCUUUUAAUUAUUUAAUAAAUAAAUCUCAAUAUAUUGUAUAUAUUGUAUAUAAUAUAUUUUUGUAUAUUACUUUUGAAACUGUUUUAAAUGGAUUUUGUUCUAUAAUAACAUUUAAUUGUCUAUAUUACCAAUGUCUAUAUUAAUAUUAUUUAACUAUAUUACGUGGAAAUCGACAACGUGUAAAUAUUCGACAAUGUGGAAUUUAUAAUCUCGUCUAAUCUCGUGAUUUGUGUUAUAAAAACAAAUUCUAUGGUGCAGUAUUUAAAGAAUCUAGUUGAAAAAGAAAAUUCAUCAACUCCGAAGCACAUGUAACCUUAUUAGGAUUGCUUAAUUUUUUUCUGUAGAAGAUAAAAUCGAGAUAAAGGUCCGUGGAUUUGUUCAAUUGCUAUUAAUAAAUGGAACAAUUUGUAACGAUAUGACAACACUGGUUUCAUUAGAAUCCACUGCAUUGUGUUUUCUUGUGAAAAUGGUGAAGCAAGUUUUGACUCUAAUGUUCUUAAAUAUCGUGAAAAAAUUCAUCCAAUAUACCUGUCACUGCACACUGUUAACGUACACAGACACCCUUAAGAUGUUAUGGAAAAGCAGGAUUCCUUAUUAUUGCUGAUCUCUUCAGGAAAGAGAAACCUAUAUGAUUCUGCAAAAUGUGGUCUUUAUCUGAUCAUCAGAAUGUUGUUUAGAAUAUUCGAUAUGUUGAAAUAGUUGGAUGAAUCUGUACACAAGUGUCCUGCAAAAUUCCUUGAUAUUAGCACAAGAAAGAUAAGAUAUCGCCAUCUUUUGUGAAAUCAAGAUCACCAAAAAUAAAAAAAUUGCAAUCACUUUUAAAUAAUGCACGAAAUACAUUUUUAGAUGGAGAAAGUGAAACUAGAGUGAAAAGAAAAAGAGUCCCUUUUUGUAUUAGUAGUAUCUAUCUUACAGAAAGUUAUUGAUUAUAACCUGCUUUAUGGCAAUUUAUCAUUAUUUAAUAUAUUGAUGAAAUUUGUCUUUCAUUUUCUGUUUCCAUCCACGAGAAACUAAUUUAACAACUAAUCUAAGUAUCCUUUAAAUCCAUAGUAAUAGUGUGAUGAAAUUUGUCUUUCAUUUUCUGUUUCAAUUCACGAGAAACUAAUUUAACAAUUAAUCUAAGUAUCCUUUAAAUCCAUAGUAAUAGUGUAAUAAAAAGUAUUGAUAAUACACUCCAGAAACAAAUUCAAUUAUUAAGAAUAGAAUAAUUGUGUAUUAUUUGCGUUUAAUAUGAUUGAAAUUAUGAUUAUCUUUUUUUGUUUACUUUUGUUUCAUGAUAUAGUAUUGAUGUAAUGCAUCUUGGAAAUAUGUUUAUUAUAUUAAUUACUAGUGUGUAGUAAUAGCAGUUUGUAACAUGAUUUAUUAUUCAUUUUUCUUUUAACAUUUUCUGCUUAAACCUUAUAGUGGAAUUAAACACUAUCUUUUUAAGUAAUGAGAAAAAUUGUGGUAGAGAACUCUGACACGAUUUAUAGAUAUUUUUUUAUAGAUUUUAUUUAUAGCAUUGUUUAUCGUCAUUUCUUAUGUUUGAUAUAAUCAUAUGAUUGAAAUUCGAUUAUUUUAAAUUUUAAUUUUGCAGAAUUAGACAUCAUUUCUUAAGAUAUAUUAUAUUUUAAUGUAAAUAUUAAGAAUAUAAUAACAGUGAGAUAUCAUUAGUUUUUUAACUUUUUUUAACUUUUAACAUUAUUGGAAUAUUGGAAUAUUGGAAAUUUAAAUAUUGGAAUAGAAAAUAAAUAUUGUAACAUAUCAAAAGUUGAGAAUAAUAGCUAUCGUUCUAUGAGGAAUUGUUCUUUUUAUGGUUUCAUUUGAUAUGUACGAGAUAUUUUUAUCUUUAUCAAUCGAACGAAAUUGAAUUAUUGUCUUCAUAGUUAUAAAAAUUUUCUAAUGUAACAUUAUUAUAUUAAGAUUGAUAAAAUAAAAUACAACUUUAGAUUUUUAAAAGUAAAAAUAAA